rnacentral:tRNA from 1 species
GGAAUAUUAUGUCAAGAACGAAAACUUCUAACUUUCUACUAAGCGGUUAAAUUCCGUUUAUAUUCCU